rnacentral:rRNA from 1 species
AUUGAACGCUGGCGGCAGGCCUAACACAUGCAAGUCGAACGAGUGGCGGACUGGUGAGUAAUGCUUGGGAAUCUUGCUUAUGGAGGGGGAUAACUACGGGAAACUUUAGCUAAUACCGCGUACCAUAGGAUGAGCCCAAGUGGGAUUAGGUAGUUGGUGUGGUAAAGGCUCACCAAGCCGACGAGCUCUAGCGGGUCUGAGAGGAUGACCAGCCACACUGGGACUGAGACACGGCCCAGACUCCUACGGGAGGCAGCAGUGGGGAAUAUUGCGCAAUGGGGGCAACCUGACGCAGCCAUGCCGCGUGAAUGAAGAAGGCCUUCGGGUUGUAAAGUUCUUUCGGUAGCGAGGCGUUAACUACAGAAGAAGCACCGGCUAACUCCGUGCCAGCAGCCGCGGUAAUUC